CAGAACUUUAGAGCAGUUGCUUACCAAUUCGGCUCCUGUAACUAGUGUCGCUCGUAAACAUGAAAUGGAUAGCAAUAGCAACGUUAUUGGUAACUUGCAUUGGGACCCAAGCUCAGGGUCAAAAUGAUAAAAUAGAUUUAGAGAUCUUGCAGGAACUUGAGCCUAUUUGUCCCCGGUUGCCAGAUUUUGCGGAAUGGUGUUAUUCACAGGGCUUAGCAGUACGCCCGAAGCGGACCCCUACUCGUGAGAUAAUUUGUUCCAUUUUGCCCGAUGUUAUUCAAUGGUGCAAGGACAAUUUCGGAACAUAUUAUUACUAGAAUUCCGGUUGCAAUUUAACCACUUCAGGCUAAUAGCCGUGAAUAAACGUAUAAACAAA